UGUGUGUGUUCAAAUCCUCUAUCUAUGUGU
rnacentral:piRNA from 1 species